AUGGCUUCCCCUUCCUCCUCUCCCGAGUGAACGGCAGAUGCCGCCGCCGCCGCUGCCGCCGCCUCCGGCAACCCCGUCGAUGCGCCUUCAUGCGCUCUGGUUUCUGGCGAGACCUCUGGCUCCGGUGGUCUUCCUCUUGCAGCCAUCCCACCCACCCACUCAACCCUGCCUUCCUCCUCCAAUCCUCCCCCACCUCUCCUGUCCAGCGUCGCCGGCGUCAUCGACUUCAAGCUCGCGCUCGACGGCCGCAACUUCACGCGCUGGAGGAACUACAUCACCCUGCUGCUUGCGCGGCACCACGCCGAGGAUCAUGUUCGGGCCGUCUCGACUCGUCGGCUGGCCGACCCGGCAUGGCGUGAUGACGACACCACCGUCGUCCUUUGGUUCUACACCAUGAUCGAGGGGGGCCUCCUCGACAUCGUCGCCCCCGCCGGCUCCUCCGCCUUCACCAUCUGGACGCGGCUCCACGAGUACUUCCUCGCCAACGAAGCUGAACAUGCUAUGCAUCUGGGCCAGGAGUUUCAGGCGUGUGUGCGCGGCGACCUCACCGUCCACGAGUACUGUCGCCGGCUGCAAGGCAUCGCGGCCGCCCUCGCCGAUGUCCGUGAGCCCGUCACAGAUCGCACCCUCACCUUGCAGAUGCUCGAUGGGCUGGGGCCCAAGUUUGCGAUGCAGUCGGCAAUCCUCCAGUCCACCGUGCCCCUGCCCAACCUUCAACCAGGCGCGCGCCCGUCUCGUCCUCGCCGAGCUAUCCAUGGACAAACUGAAGGAAAUAUGCCCUAG
rnacentral:rRNA from 1 species